GGAGCAGCAGGCCUAACAGUUAGGUCACAUCCACACGCUGCUGCCCACAUGGCCACCUGUCUUAAAUGAGAAGGCUCGGCCCCUAACAGUCAUGUGAAAGGAGAAACGGUGAAAAUUUACUUUUCUAUCAAGCAGAAGUCUUCACCCUGAACCCUGAACCCUUCCCUACCCCUGGACCCGUUCUCCUGUCCUCGUCCCCGUGUGGAAACAUGUCCCGACUGCAGACUCUGAAGGUCCUCAUCAACCAGCGGCUCACUGCGGCUCUCGAGGACAUAUUUGGACAUUUGGAGAGAACAAUCGGCGAGUACGAAGCGGAGAUGGACCGCCGCCAUCACAAGCUGCUCGCUGUUGGUGGUUAAAGAAGAGCAGCAGGAGUGUAGCUCCAGUGUGGACCAGCAGGAGCCAGAGCCCCCCCCCCACACAUUAAAGAGGAACAGGAGGAACUGUGGAGCAGUCAGGAGGGAGAGCAGCUUCAAGGGCUGGAGGAGGCUGAUAUCACCAAGUUCCCAUUCACUCCUGUCCCUGUGAAGAGUGAGAUGAAGAGGAAGCUCAGUCCUCACAGCUUCAUCAAAGAUGUAAGAAAACAUUCAGCUGCUCUGAGUGUGGGAAAAGAUUUAGCUUCAAGUCAAAUCUGAAGAGACACAUGCAAACUGACACAGGAGAUAAACCAUUCAGUUGAUUAGUUUGUGAUCAAAGAUUUUUUCAAAAAGCACAUGUGAAUAAACACAUGAGAAUCCACAGGGGAUAAAAGUCACUCAGCUGCUCUGAGUGAGACAAGAUUUUCACAAACGAGAUAUUUGAGAGAGGAGAGAACCGAUUCAGCUGCAGAGUUUGUCACAAACGAUUUGCCUGAUGUUCAAUGGGCGAAACACAUGAAUGUUUUCUCAGUCAGGUUUAAACUCUCUGAAACAUGAUUUACUGGUGAAAUAUAUUAUUAAUAUUAUUGGUAUUUAGGGGUGCAACUAAUGACGUAACUUUGAGUUUGGUUACAUUUUUAAUAAACCAUUUCAUUUGGACCAUAUAGCCUUAACAAAAACAAUCGUUCGUUAAAGCGUAACUCUCGCCAAAAUGCAACCUAGGGUCUUCUUGUGAAUGUACCCGAGUCAAACGUUCGUUUUAA
rnacentral:lncRNA from 1 species